rnacentral:SRP_RNA from 1 species
GCUGGGUGUGGUAGUGCACACCUGUAGUCCCAGCUACUUGGGAGGCUGAGAUAGGAGGAUAGCUUGAGCCCAGGAGGUGGAGGUUGCAGUGAGCUGAGAUGGUGUCACUGUACUCCAGCCUGGGUGACAGAGCAAGACCCUGUCUCAA